rnacentral:lncRNA from 1 species
AUGUUACAGCCCACUGUUACAGCCUAUUCUUUAUACUACAGCCCACUGUUACAGCCUAUUCUUUAUACUACAGCCCACUGUUACAGCCUAUUCUUUAUACUACAGCCCACUGUUACAGCCUAUUCUUUAUGUUACAGCCUAUUCUUUAUACUACAGCCCACUGUUACAGCCUAUUCUUUAUACUACAGCCCACUGUUACAGCCUAUUCUUUAUACUACAGCCCACUGUUACAGCCUAUUCUUUAUACUACAGCCCACUGUUACAGCCCACUGUUACAGCCUAUUCUUUAUACUACAGCCCACUGUUACAGCCUAUUCUUUAUACUACAGCCCACUGUUACAGCCUAUUCUUUAUACUACAGCCCACUGUUACAGCCUAUUCUUUAUACUACAGCCCACUGUUACAGCCUAUUCUUUAUGUUACAGCCCAUUGUUACAGCCUAUUCUUUAUACUACAGCCCACUGUUACAGCCUAUUCUUUAUGUUACAGCCCACUGUUACAGCCUAUUCUUUAUGUUACAGCCCAUUGUUACAGCCUAUUCUUUAUACUACAGCCCACUGUUACAGCCUAUUCUUUAUGUUACAGCCCACUGUUACAGCCUAUUCUUUAUGUUACAGCCCACUGUUACAGCCUAUUCUUUAUGUUACAGCCUAUUCUUUAUACUACAGCCCACUGUUACAGCCUAUUCUUUAUACUACAGCCCACUGUUACAGCCUAUUCUUUAUGUUACAGCCUAUUCUUUAUACUACAGCCCACUGUUACAGCCUAUUCUUUAUGUUACAGCCUAUUCUUUAUACUACAGCCCACUGUUACAGCCUAUUCUUUAUACUACAGCCCACUGUUACAGCCUAUUCUUUAUGUUACAGCCUAUUCUUUAUACUACAGCCCACUGUUACAGCCUAUUCUUUAUACUACAGCCCAGUGUUACAGCCUAUUCUUUAUACUACAGCCCACUGUUACAGCCUAUUCUUUAUGUUACAGCCUAUUCUUUAUACUACAGCCCACUGUUACAGCCUAUUCUUUAUACUACAGCCCACUGUUACAGCCUAUUCUUUAUACUACAGCCCACUGUUACAGCCUAUUCUUUAUACUACAGCCCACUGUUACAGCCUAUUCUUUAUACUACAGCCCACUGUUACAGCCUAUUCUUUAUGUUACAGCCCACUGUUACAGCCUAUUCUUUAUGUUACAGCCCAGAUAGAAACUUAG